rnacentral:tRNA from 1 species
AGUUAGUGGCCGGAUUCGAACCGGCAUAAAAAAUCUGGAUCUCUUAAUCCAAAUUCGCUUUACCGUUUAGCUACACCAAC